rnacentral:lncRNA from 1 species
AAGAGAUAAGAUGGAGCCUACUCUCAUCCAAUCCAAACCAAUAUCUCUCGAUUCUUAUCUAAUCCCAUCAUUCUCCACCGUCAGAUCAUAAUCCAAACAUUACCCCCAUCAUACUACGAUACACAGCGAUGCACAGGAUCAACAUAAUCAAGAUCAUCGUAACCGUCGGAUCAUCUUGAAAUAUACACACGAGAACCUCAUAUCCUCGUCUUCCCUCUUCGCUCUCACUGUCAGAUCAGAACCUUUUUUUCUUCUUCUUCGAAUCAAUGGAGUCACGCGUGCUGUUACGCGCCACCGCGAAUGUCGUUGGAGUUCCGAGAUUGAGACGACCAAUCGGAGCAAUCCACCGCCAGUUCAGCACCGCGUCUUCGUCGUCGUUCUCGGUUAAGGCAAUCGGAGGACUCGGAGAAGGAGGGAACCUGAUCUCCGGUCGUCAGCUCCGUCCGAUUCUGCUUCUCGACUCGUCGAUCAACGGCGGAGGAGGGGAGAAGAGAGAGAUUCUCAAACCGGUGAAAGCCGCCGCAGCCGAAGGUGGAGAUACCGCUGG